rnacentral:tmRNA from 1 species
GGGGCUGAUUCUGGAUUCGACGGGAUUUGCGAAACCCAAGGUGCAUGCCGAGGGGCGGUUGGCCUCGUAAAAAGCCGCAAAAAAAUAGUCGCAAACGACGAAAACUACGCUUUAGCAGCUUAAUAACCUGCUUAGAGCCCUCUCUCCCUAGCCUCCGCUCUUAGGACGGGGAUCAAGAGAGGUCAAACCCAAAAGAGAUCGCGUGGAUGCCCUGCCUGGGGUUGAAGCGUUAAAACGAAUCAGGCUAGUCUGGUAGUGGCGUGUCCGUCCGCAGGUGCCAGGCGAAUGUAAAGACUGACUAAGCAUGUAGUACCGAGGAUGUAGGAAUUUCGGACGCGGGUUCAACUCCCGCCAGCUCCAUCA